CGACAUCAUCCAGUAGGCGGUGCUCUCCUUCUGCACUGUGUUCAACCAUUGUGUCAAUAAUAAGUGCUGCUGUGAAGAGAACAAUUCUCAGACUGAAUGUUGAACAUCAGCUAGUUUCUCCUGUUGAUUGAAACCUUGUUGUACAGAUGGAACAUUGGCUGUGGAUUAUUCUUGCUGCUCUUUUCUUUGAGUGUAAAGGAGAAGACAAAGUGAUCCAGGAACAAGGAGAUGUCAUUGCUGCUGAAGGAGACACAGUUACACUUGGAUGUAGAUUUGAAACCAGUGACCCAGGCCCGACUUUGUUCUGGUACAAACAGAAAAAGAACAGCUCGCCAAAACUUUUAGUUCAACGAUUUUACUUAUCAGCAGAUAAUUCUGAAGCAAAGGACAGAUUUGAUGCCGAAGUCGACAAGAAAGAAAAGUCAGUUCCUCUGAAGAUCCAGAAGCUUCAGCUGUCUGACUCUGCUGUGUACUACUGUGCUCUGCAGCCCACAGUGACAGGAAACACCAAAACUCUGUACAAAAACCUUUGGAGCAAAGACAACAGAAUACUCCACAACAUCCACUAGAGGGAG